UUUUCCUCUUUCUCUUCCACUAAACACGUAAUCCCUCACUCCCACUGCAUACUCACGCUCUCCUAACCCUUAAUCCUCUUUCUACCUCUGGUCCACCACGAAGCUGCUUCUGGCUUUCCUCCACCGGGAAACCACUUCUCUACAAACCGCGUUUCGUUCACGCAAGAUGUGUUCUGCGAUUUGUUGGAUUUCAAGGUACAAAAGGUGACUACCACUUCUGCAAUACACGUUUCAAGGUGAUUUUUGUUGGAUGAAUUGGCGUUUCCGUUUCCGUGCUGUGUUUUUUACUGGAUCCACGAACUGAUUUUUUACAGGAUGAAAUUCAUUUCUCGGUUCAGUUAGAGGUUCAAAACGUCAACUGAUUUUCUACGGUGUUUUAAUCAUCUGCAACUUGCUUAUGGUUCUGAAAUUUUGCAAGAGUGCAACGCUAUUCCCAGCUAAGUUCUGAAAUCACGUCUACUGAUUUUACUGCUUUGAGAACGAAAUCAGUAUUAAAGUUUUAUAGCAGUUCAGGGAGAUGAUCAAGGAUUACUUCUGUUCCAAUUCCUGUAAGUUGCUUCUUACUCAUCAUCUUAACUCUAGGUAAUUUAUUGUUUGUUACGGUAUUUUAGGAAUUCCUUUUUAACUUUAGUCUGAAUUAAAUAUAGAUUUUUAAACCAUAUAUCAAUCUAGGUUUAAAAAACAGUGAGAAGUGGACUAAUUAGUAUUUCUUUAGUACUUGAAGUGCAGAGUAUAGUAAACACGAUGCAAGAAAAAAGAAAACAGAGAAGAAAAGAAGGACGAGGGAGAUAAAAAGAGAACGAAGAGGUGUGUUUUACGUUUUGAUGUAUCUGAUAACUCUUUUUGCAGCUUUCAUAUGUGUUUCGUUUGGACAGUGCAUGAACCUUGAAAGAAUACUCACAACAUUUAGGAUGUCAGGUCUGGUUGUUGUUAAGUACAUCAGACAACCUAUCAAACUUCUAAACUUAGAUUCAUUAACCUUGUCAGAACCAUCAUCUUUGAUUAGCUUCUCCUUUUGAUUCAUGGGAGUGUUCACAGUUUUGCAAUCUUCCAUCAGAAAUUUCUUGAGUAUUUCCUUUGCAUGUUUUCUUUGACUUAAGAAAACUUCAUCCUGAUUCUGUUUGAUCUCAAUGCCAAGAAAGUAUGACAUAAGACCAAGAUCUGUCAUUUCAAAGACCUUUUUCAUUUCCAGUUUGAACUGGUUGAUUUCUUCAACAUUGCUUCCUGUAACUAACAUGACAUCCACAUAAAGAGAAAUUACCAAAAUAUUUGUACCUUGAUGUUUGACAUACAAUGUGAGUUCAGAUUGGCUUUUAUGAAAGCCAAGGUGCACCAGAUGAUCAUCAACCUUGUUGUACCAGGCUCGUGGAGCUAGCUUUAAUCCAUAUAAAUCCUUUUUCAAAAAGUAGACUUUAUUUUCAUUGCCCUCAUUCACAAAGCCUUCAGGUUGUUCAACAAAAAUUUCUUCUUGCAAAUCUCCAUUUAAGAAUGCAGAUUUAACAUCCAAAUGGUAUACUUUCCAGCUCCUUUGAGCAGCAAGAGCAAGCAAUAAUAUUACAGUGUCAAGCCUGGCAACAGGUGCAAAUGUCUUUGAAUAAUCAACACCAAAAACUUGUGCAUAUCCUUUCACAACAAGUCUUGCUUUGAAUUUGUUGAUAGAACCAUCAGGACUUAGCUUGGUUCUGAAAACCCAUCUUACUCCAAUUAUUUUUCUGUUUAGUCGACCAACCAACUCCCAGGUUUUAUUUUUCUCAAUCAUAGAAAGCUCCUCCUACAUUGCAGCCAUCCAGUGUUGACUGUUUUUUGCAUCGUGAAAUCCUGCAGGCUCACAAACAGCUACAUUGCACCUUUGACAGAUGUCAGACAAUAGUCUUGUUCCUCUGACAGGUGCAUCAUCAACUGUAGCAUCAUCUUCAGAUUCUUCAGUCAUGCUCCCAAGGGUUGAACUGUUUGGAGCAUUUGGACUUUGAUUCACCUUAGUUGAACUUUCCCAAUCCCAUUGUUCAUUUUCAACAAAAUGAACAUCUCUGCUUACAAUCACACGACCAAUUUGUGGCUGAAAAAUUUUGUAAGCUUUGGAUACAGUGCUAUAUCCAACAAAGAUGCUUGCUUAUGCUUUUUUAUCAAGCUUAUCACGCUUGACCUGUGGAAUAUAAGUGAAGCAAAGACAACCAAAUAUUUUGAGAAAUUUUAAAGAAGGUUUGUAGCCAUACCAAGCUUCAUAUGGUGUCAGAUCUUUCAAGGCUUUUGUAGAAAUUCGAUUUUGUAGGAAUACAACAGUGUUUGUUGCCUCCCCCCAUAACCCUUUUGGAAGAUUCUUUUCAUGGAGCAUACACCUUGUCAUCUCCAUAAUGAAUCUGUUCUUCCUUUCACUGACACCAUUCUGUCGAGGAGUAUAUGGUGUUGUUAAUUGAUGUUGAAUUCCAGCUUCUUCACAAAAUUUGUUGAAAGCAUCAGAGGUGUAUUCCUUGCCAUUGUCAGACCUUAUAAUCUGAAUUGAGCAUCCACUUUCAUUUUCAACUCUGGUUUUGAAUUUCCAGAAUAUACUGGGAACCUCUAACUUUUGUUUCAACAUGAAAAUCCAACACAUUCUUGUUAGAUCAUCAAUAAAAAUUAUGUAGUAGAGGUUACCAUUUAAUGAAGGUGUUCUCUGAGGACCACACAAAUCAGUGUGCACCAGUUGCAGCUUUUUCGAGGCUCUCCAAGCUUGUUUAGGGAAAGGUUGUCUGUGUUGCUUCCCAAAAUUGCAGGCAUGACAAGGAGGAAUAUUAUCAUCAAUGUCUGCGAGUCCUUCAACUAGCUUCUUUGAUUGCAUCUGAAACAAUCCUUGAUGAUGAAAGUGCCCAAGUCUUUUGUGCCAAAUCUCAGUGGCACUAGCUCUGGACUUGAAGGCCAUUUGUUCUUUCUCCAUUGGAUUUAAAGCAAAGCUUUUUCCUUUCAUUUUGACAUUGAACAAGUCUUUGCCACUAGCAUCUCUAAUCAAGCACUGUUUAUUCUCAAACAACACUUUAUAGCCUUUAUCGAGUAGGUGGCCAACACUUAAGAGAUUUUGAUCAAUUUUAGGUACAAAUAAAACAUCUGAAACAAAUUUUGUACCUUCAUAGCUUGCUAUAGCUACUGUGCCUUUUUCCCUUGACUUCCAAGAGUUCACCAUUUCCAAUUCUCACUCUCUUAACUUCAGUGUUUUUUAAUUCUUCGAAAAGCUCCUUGUCAUAUGUCAUAUGAUUUGUGCACCCACUGUCAAUCAACCAGCUCUCACUUGAUUCUCUACUUGAGAAACAAGUGACCACGAACAAUUGAUCUUCUUCUUGACCAACAACUUGUGCAUCUACUUCUUGCACCUGACCUUUGACUUUGCAGAUCACAGCUUCAUGUCCAAGUUGAUUGCAUUUGGAGCAUUUUGCAUCGGGUCUUCUCCAACACUUGUAUGGUGGAUGACCUUUCUUCUCACAGUGGCGGCAAGGUGGGUAGGAUUUUUUGGAACCUUCUUCCUUUUUUAAGUUUUUCUUCUUUUUGUACCUGUUGUUGUCUUGAUGCUUGACAGGUAAAGCUCCUUCAAUCACCCCUUCUUGCCUCAUAGACCUUCUUUGCUCUUGUGCUUGUAAAGCAUUCAAGAGCUCUGUAAGAGAGAUUUUUGACAGGUCUUAGGUGUUCUCCAGAGUAGUAAUGGUGGCUUCAAACUUCCCGGGAACAGUGACCUGCAGCUUUUCAACAAUCCUAGAGUCAAUACACACAGAACCAAGUAAUCUCACCUUAUUGGCAAUGCUGAGAAGUCUGUCAGAGUACUCCUUCAUUGACUCAAACUCCUUCCUCUUCUGCAACUCGAAAUCCUGAAUCAAAUUCAGGACUUUCAUUCCACGAAUCCUCUCAUCUCCUGCAAAUUCACCCUUGAGGUAAUCCCAAAUUUCCUUUGUUGUUUUGAGGGACAUUAUUCGUGUGAAGAUCAUUUGAGAUAUAACUGCAAAUAGGCAAGCUUUUUCCUUUGAUUUUAUGGUUUUUUUCUCCUUCUAUGCUUUGAUUUGUGCAACAGUAGGAUUUGCUGGAAGUGGAGGGACUUCGUAAUCUUCUUCUACUGCUUCCCAAAGAUCCAAAGCCUUCAGAUAAGUCUCCAUACGAAUUGCCCACAUUUGAUAAUUGUCUCCAUCAAAGACUGGUGGUGCAACAGCUGAAAAACUUGAUUCUCCUUCCAUUUUGACCUCACAGAUCCCUUAAGAAGAGUGCUUUGAUACCAAUUUGUUAGUUUCAAAACAAAUAAUAUUUGAUUGAUCAAUUGAGAUGAUAUAUUAAAGUUGGAAAGUUGUGCAUUUGUACACAGAAUGAAUAAAGAUUGUUCUAAAAAACAGAAAAUAAAUAUGGUAACAAACCAAUAGUUAAAACAGAAUUAAUUAAUUUUCUAAAAAUCUGGAGACUUAUUCAAUAACAAAAAAAAGCUAACUUGUAGGAUGUUAAACACAUGAUCCUAACAAACAUUCUUAAAUAUCAACUUUUUUUUAAAAGAACUAUAGAAAAGGUUUCAUAAAACCAAUAAAAGAAGAAAGAGUUUGGUUACUGACUUACCACGUCAAAAACAGCCUUAAGUUAACUUUCCUUUACCAUAAGCAACAAUCAAGUUGUCUAUGGUUCUGUUGUAAACUCCCAUCAGAUAAGAAAAUUUUGGUUAUUAUGUAGUGUUUCCAUUGCUUGAUACCACUUCCUUGGAAAGCAAAAACAAAAGGGACAUAAUUGAAAGCAUAUACACCUAUGUCUGAGAUUUGAUUAAGUACCUUAAACUUUCUAUCCAACCAGGGAAAGGUUCUCUGUAAGUAUUAGUAAUGAUUGUGGGACGUACAAUUACUAUAUUCAUGUUUCCCUUUGUAGUUCCUACAAUCAUUUCUCCCAUUGCCUUUGUAAAGACAUAGGUGUGUGGCCAUCCAUAUAUCGUUGCUCUAAUAAUUAGUCAUGAAACAACCAUCAUAUGGUAAUUGUAAAAAAUGAAAAUGUUACCUGAUACACACAAAAUUAUAGAUAAACUUGUGGAGGUAAUUUAAAUUGUUCAACAAAAGGAAGGUGGUGUGAUUAAAGUGGAAGUAGUAGAAUUGGAAGACCUUUUACUUCCCAAGUCCUUCAUGGCCAAUUCAAUAUCAUUGAAGGCAAGAUUUGAUUCGCUACCAUUCAAAUAAAGUUUGCAUCAUCAUGGGCACACAAUUUUUUAUUAUAUAAGCAAAGAAUUAAAUUAAGUAAAAGAUACUUUAUACAUAUCUCAACCCGUUUACGAAUAAAGAGAAUGAUACUAUCUAUAUCUAGAACGGGCACUAUUACCCUUCCUAAAGCUACCUACGAAGAAAAAAAACAAGAGCUUCUUAAAGCACCACCAGCAACAAUUCCUGCCAUUCCUCCGCCACUGCAAAAAAAAAAAACCUUACAUCACAAUGGAUCAUCAUGGGCACACACAUAUAUAUUAAAUAUGAGAUUCUGAUAUAACCAUGCAACAGAUACGACCUUAAGCAUAUAUAUUUACAAGGACAUAAAAUGAGCCAAAAAAUUUCAAGUUAGGCUUUAGCCAACAGAAAAGAAAAAAUUGUUGAUGAAGCAGUUAGGCAACUAACACAAUAAUGAUUUUUUUUCUAAAACUUAUCCACUCCAUUUCCAAUACAUGUACAUGACUUGGUAGCUUGCCAAAGUGAGGCCAUUGGUGUUCCAGUCACCAAAACUCAUCUUGCUCCCAAUUCAUGCAUCAGAAAAAAGAGUCUUCAUUAAGAUAACAAUGUAGUACUAGUACUACCACCAAUAAUACUCCUAUAUACAACCAUUUAUUUAUUGGUGGUCAAUAAUGGCCAUAUGCAUAUACUUAAAAAAGACUACAUGACAUACACUAUAUAUAAUAACACUACAAAAAAAAAUUAUGAAAUAAAAACAUAUUUUAGAAACAAAAAAUAAUUAGUUGCUAUAUUGACUAAAUUAGAGACUAUUUUAGAAACUAAAAAAAAAAAUUGGUUUCUAAAUUAAUUUAUAUUAUUGAUGAAUAAUUUCUAAAUUGGUAUCUAAGGUUUUUCUACUAAAUUUAGAAUCUAAAUAAUUGGUAGUUAAAAUCUUGGUAUAAACUAUUUAUCAAUAAUAGAAACUAAUUUAGAAACCAAUAAUUUUUUUAGUCUCUAAACUAUAUUUAAUUUAGUCAAUAUAGCAACUAGUUAUUUUUAGUCUAUAAAAUUGGUUUCUAUUUAAUAACUUUCUAGUAGUGUUGGUUUAUAUAAUUCCUAAUUUUUUUUGUUGCAAGCUCACACUUCAAAAAAAUGACUUAUUUUGUUUUAGCUUUUGAUGUACAUAUUUUUAUGUGUAAUUUUAGUUUUAGUUGUAAUUGUUAAUAUUUAAUUUUCAUAAUUUUGAAAUAUUUUAAAUUAAGGUCUUUAUUUUAAAAUGCAUCUAAUAAUUAAUUCACUGUGAGAGUGACAAAUGAUAAAGUUAAUUUCUCCUAGCAAUAUGUUUUAAUGCUCACAUCUAAUAGAUAAUGCAAUUAUUUAGGAUAUAUAAAGCAGUGAUAAACACCAAUGAUUGUCAAGUUAGGUAAUAGUGGCUUGUGAUCCGAGUUCGGACACUAAAGUGAUGGAAGAAGCAAUAUUGGAGUAAGAAGAAAAUAGUGUCUUAUUUAGGGUUUCUUCUCCUUAGAUAUAAUAGACAUAAGUGUGGCUGAAUUUUGAUUCCUUGUUAGGACUAUCGGUGACGGCCAUUAAACCUGUGUUGGAGAGCAGUGUGUCUGCGGUAGAAGAGAGAAGUCGGGAGGAUUGUUAGAGAUGGUGGAAAAUGGGGUUGAAGAUUUUUAAACUCGUGGUAUUUAACGGAGAUUUUGAAACUCAUAUUAUUUUACGGGAUGAUAUAUUUAUUGAUUUAUAUUUUCCUAGCGGUGUUAAUUUAAUUUUUUAGAAACUGAAAUAAAGUUAUCAAAAUUCUCUUCUUGAAGAGUGAAAACUCUCUCCCAGUUCUCUCAAAGAUGUCAAUUUUUUUUGGAGAAAAUGAUCCAUAAAUUUGAACUUGUAAUUUAAUAAAUAUAAAAAAAUUGUUUUUAAACUAAUCUACAUUUAUUGAUAUUUUUAGUAAUAUAGUAAUUGUGAAAAAUACAAACCAAUUUUAUUCUUUUUUUAUUUAUUUAAUUAAAAAGAGUUAACUAAAAAACAUUUAAAAAAAUUGAUACUAUAUUAAAGUAACAUUUAUUUACCAAAUGUCACAAUAUUAUGUUUAUUUUAUUUAUAGUAAUAUUUAUAUAUAAAAAAUGUUACUAAAACUUAUGUAUUGAAAAUGUAACUAAAAAUACAAAAAUGCUGUAGUGUAAUCCGGGUUAAGUUAGAGAUUCUAAAUUUACAACUUUCAAUUAUUGAAACACGUUUAUAAAUACUUUUUUUUAAACAUUACAAGAAAAUCAUGAAAUAAAAAUCAAUUUUUAAAGAUCAAAAUAAUUAGUUGGAAUAGUAACUAAAUUAGAGACAUUUUAGAAAUUAAAUAAAAAAAUUGGUUUCUAAAUUAGUUUCUAUUAUUGUUAAAUAGUUUCUAAAUUGGUAUCUAAUUAGCUAGUUUUAGAGACAAAAUUUAGAAACUAAAUAAUUGGUAGUUAAAACCUUAGUGACUAAUUAAAUACAAAUUUAAAAACUAUUUAAUAAUGAUAGAAACUAAUUUAGAAACAAAUUAUUUUUAGUUUCUAAAAUGAUUUCUAAUUUAGUUACUAUUGCAACUAAUUAUUUUCAUCUCUAAAACAAUAGCAUAUAAAUGCUAAAAGAAAAGGAAAAUGGUUUUUUGACACCAUUAUUCCACCCUACACCCCACUAAAUAUUAAUAUUUUAAUUUAUUUAAUUUUAAAAUUAUUUUAACAUUUUAUAUUUUAUUUAUAUUUUCAUUAAGGACUUUUUUUUAUUUUAUAAAUUUUUUUUAUUAUAAAUAUUAAUAUUUUGUUGGAUGGUAAAGUGGAUGUGAAAAUAUCAUCACCAAAAGAAAAAGUGUAAUUUGAAAAAGAAUGCAAGUAUUGUUGACCUUUUCCAUUUUCAGUUUCUCUUGUUAAACUUUGUCCUUCCACAAAUCAUCUUUAUUUAUUUUUUCCAAUUCAACACGCUUUAUGACGUCUCUGACACUGCAGGACUUAUCUAAAAACAUCAUAGUUU
rnacentral:lncRNA from 1 species